rnacentral:lncRNA from 1 species
CUCAGUCUGCUCUGUGCAGAGCCCUGGUGCGAGGCUGAUAAAUCAGUGUGUUUGCAAUUUCCCUUCUGCUUGAUUAAUGGAAAGCUGAGGUCAUCAUUGCUCUGAGGGGUGAAUUAACACUGAGCAUAAUUGAUGUGCUGUGUCCCCCUCCUGCAUUGGUAGCAGUGGGGCAGCAGUGGCUGAGGCUGCUUUGGAGCAGUGCAUGCAACCUCUGUCGUUGCAUUUGUUCUCUUUAUAAUGACAGCUGUAUGAGGAAGCCCAAUGGGAAGUGUACCUGAGAAGGCAGUAAUAAAGCACCAAACAAACCCCAAACACAAUGCUUGCAGCCCAGGUGAGCGUGCAAACCAUUCUGGUUUGCCUGCAGGCACGCUGGCACUUGGAAGUUGCUGCUCCUGCUGCACAGCACUGUUACACAUCAUUGCGCUGUGGCUGCAAUGCAAAUGGGGCCCCACAGAAAGCACUGCUGUGCACUGGGUGCUGCAGAGAUGGACGUGCUGGGGGGCAGUCCUGAGCCAUUCCCAUAUGCACACAUGGGGGUAAUUUUAUUCCUCGCUGUCCUCGGCUAUUUUUAAUUCUCCUGUUGGGUAACAGGUUGCAAACUUAAUUCUUUCUGAGUGGGAGCAUUUCUGAAGGCUUUAAAUAGUGCUUGCUGAGCAGGGCCUUGGGAGCAACCUGUUCAUCAGCUCAUGGUGCAGGAGCUGCAGCUUGCAGUGUGCUGUCUGUGCAUGCAUUGGGUGACAGACACUGACAACAGCACAAAAUAAUGUGGCCGUAGUGCAAGAUAAUGUGUUUUUCCUGUGGAUAAUAGCAUAAAAUAGUGGGGUUUUCCCCCCUGUGCUGCAGCAUGGGGUCUAAAUGGUGGCUGUGCCUCAGCUUACUAUGGCAGCUGUGUGUCUGAGCUGCCUUUCGGUGCACCCAUCCACCCGAGGAUGGUGUGCUGGUGCUGCAGGUUGGUGCAUCGCGGUGCUCAGGCCUUCCUUCGGGGCUCCAUCAGCUCAGUGCCAUUCUCUUCGUCGUUCCUUCAAGCAUUCUGCUUGCAAAGCACUGCAAAACCACCUCGCCCCGCUGCGAUCUUUGCAAGGCUCCCCGUGUGCAUCUCCUUCCAGCCGAACAAUGCCGGCUGCAAAGCGACAAGAAGGGGACGCUGCAGCUUUAAAGCAUCCCAGGGCCGACAGCCUCUUGGUAUAAAUUGUUCCCAGAAUCCAUGUCACAGCUCCUUAUAUGGGGCUGCUUUUUUUCUCUCCGUUGCCAUACCAACCGCAGCACUGCACCAUUCAUCGGCUCCGGUCCUGGGCUGCAUCGCUGCCCCUCGGCUCACUCCAGGAGCAUCGUUGGCCCCGCGGUGCUGUGCCAUCCUUUACCUCUUCUUGCAACAAUUUGCUCGAAAAAAAAAAAAAAGGGGCAGCUUAAAUGCCAGCAGAGCGAGAAGCGGUGUAGAAAUCCUUCUGUUUUCCCCCAAGGGAGGCAUGUAGUCUACGUUUGCUGCAGCGUUCUGGAAGGAAGGAAGGAAGGAAGGAAGGGCUCUUUAAUAGCGAGAGGAUUAAUGAAGAGAGGGAGCUGUGAGCCCUCCUGAAACCAUCAUCUCGGAGCCCACUCCGUGGGGACGGUGAAGAUGCAGAGGUGAUGUGAGCUGGGGGGCAGCUGUGGGGCACUGAGCUGCUGUGGGCAGAGGGAGCCGUCACUGCACUGCAGCCCUGGGCUGAUGGCAUGGAGCUGUGUGGGGCUGGGGUGUGGGUCUGAUCUGUGGGUCCAGGCUGUGGGUCCGGGCUGAGUCUGUUCUGUGGGUCUGGGCUGUUCUGUGGGUCCAGGCUGUGAGUCUGGGCUGUGGGUCUGAUAUGCAGGUCCAGACUGUGAGUCCAGGCUACAGGUCUGGGCUGUGGAUCCAGACUGUGGGGCUGUUCUGUGGGUCUGGGCUAUGGGUCCAGGCUGUGGGUCUGGGCUGCAGGCUCGGGGCUGCUCUUUUGGGUCUCACUGCCCUCCUGCUGCAGCAUUGCAUGCUCGUGGGUGCUGGGGAGAGAAAACAAAGCCCUAUGAGUGUCAGCACUGCUCCUCUUGCAUGCACUUGCAUGGAAAUUGUGGUGUGCUUUGCUUGGCCUCCUUUAGCUCUGCAGAAAAUCAAUGUAGAAUAAGAAGGCUGAGUGCCUGGAGCUGGCACGGGAGCCAUUAGGUGGCUGGUAGUGUAAGGGCAGGUUUUGCUGCUUUGGGUGUUUUUCUUUUGGUCGUUGCAAUAGUUUUACAUAACCCUGAGCUCUUUUCCUGCUCGUGGAGAUGAGAAGGAUUGCAUGGACAGAACCUAAAGCGAACGUGCACUGCAAAACAUUCCACUUCCUCAGCAUUGCUGAAGUAGAACAGAUCUACUGAGGAGCGGGCUGAAAAAUUAUCCACCAGGGAUAUGAAGGAUGGUAUUUUUGGUUUUAGAGCAUCAUGAUGAGGAGGUGUUAAUUGGAGCUGCUGGGAAGAGCACCGGUACAGCAGUAACCAUUUGCAAGGUGUGGUUUGAGGGAUGGCACCUGGUGCUGCACUGUGUGCACGGUGCUGUGCUUGCUGUCAUUCCUGGGUGUUUUGGUGCCAUUGUGGUUGCAGUGCGGUCACGUUUUCCCUGUUGCUUUCUGUAGCUGUUGCUCUGACAGCUUGGCAUGGGUCGGGAAGGGCUGUUUUGGUGUUGGAGUGUGGUGGGAUGGAGGGCUGCUCCUGGAGAGCCCAGCAGCGUUCAGUGCCGCCUGCUUCACAGUGCCGUGUUUGUCAAGAUGCAGCGUUCACUUUCCAUUUAAUUUCCCCUAAUCCAUCGCCAUCCAUGGCAGUCUGGAGGCUUAGCACAACCCGGCACCUUACAUAAUGUCAGAAGGGAGAAUUGAAUUGCAUCUCUAAAUGAGAGGCAGGAGGUGUGUGUGCAGUAUCUCCUUGUGAUUUCAGCCCCCGUGUUCUCAUCCUGCCCCAUACCCCAACCUGGGGUGGUACAUGCUGGGCUGGGGGCUCCUCUUGUGUCCGUAGGAAUCCAUCCCUCACAUGCAGACUCAUGGUUUGCUGUGGCAGGGGCACUGUUAGUUGGGAGCCAGCCGGGUGUGCACAGCUGGAAUGGGCGUGGGAACACACUGCAUGUGAAGGGACUGCUGAAAGUCACAGAGCAGUGUUAGCACACCUUUUCCAAGCCAAGAGCUGCGUUCUGCCUGCUUGUCAUGUGCAACCACCUCCUGUGUUAGCAGGGCAGGAGUCACGGUGGUCCUGUGCCUGCCAGGACCUUCCUGGCUCUGUGAUGCAGCAUCACACUGACUUGCCAGGUCGCGUAUUUGUGUCAGCAGAGCUCGAUGUAAAUGGAAAUGGAAAGAAGAGCUGUGCAAAGAACCAGAUGAACACACACUCUGUGCAGCUUGCCCUGCUGUUGGAAGUGGUUCUUUGGAAGAACUCACCAAUGAAGUGUUCAGUACUGCUUUCCUGCAGUGCUCUGAGGUGAGUGAAGCUGUGUUCAGUGCUCCGCUCGCUUCCCGCUGCCCAACCUGAUCAACGUGUGUGAUGGAAACCCCAAAUGCUAAAGCAGAAGGGCAUUGCUGGGGCACUGCAGUGACACACAGCCUUGGAAGGAGGAAGGGAAUGUUUGGAGGACGCACACAUCCCAAGGAAAGCUGGGAAUCAGUUUUUCCUUCCUUUGUUCCUCAGCUCUGUCCUACAGCAGCCUCCUACAGCGAAGAGGAAAACGCGUUUCCUUCGCUUCCUGUUCUGUUUGCUUCUGAUUUCUCCCAUUGAAACUGAUGUGGAAAUCCAAGCACUGUGCAUCCACAGUUCAGCCUUUAGCUCGGGACAACGGGCACGCUGCCUUCCUCCAAACAUCAAUUUAACAGCAUUACCCUUCAUCUGAUCACAUGGACGGAGCGCUUCGCUUCUUUCCUUGGAACAAACUCCCUUUGCUGCGUAUCCAGGUCACCUUGGGCAGCCGUGCUCAUUUUGGGCCCCCCGAGCUGCUGAGAGCUGCCAGGGGCUGAAGGGCAGCACCGCAUCUCAGUGGGUGCUGUGCUCUCAUCUGCUUUAAAUGUGACUUUUAAUGAAGCCCCAGAAGAGGCGAGGAGGGAGGUGAGGAACGUUUGUGCGGCGGCGCUGCUCCCGUUUCUGCCAUUCAGAGGAUUCCGUGGGUUUUUGAGCAGAACUUACGUGGGCUGAAAAUGCUGACGGCGUGAUGGCAUCCCGGAGUGCCGGGUCUUCAUCCAUUGUUCGUGUGGUUUAACAGGAGUCUGAAACAGCACCGAAUGUGUAGGGAUGUCUGCUGGCCGCUGUUUGGGAAGCUGAAGCGGGCAGCGCUGGUUUAUUCCUCGUCUUUCCUCCCUGUGAGCGCUGCAGGGAACACGCACAGAAUUUGUACUCAGAGCUGAUUCAGAAGACACUGAGAAGGAGAAUUUUAGAUGGGAAAUGACGUGGAGAACUGCUGCUGUGACCCAGCUGUGAGCCGUCAGAACCGACCUCCUGGGUUUGGAUGGGAGGGUGGAAGCAGCUUCUGCAGCGUCGGUACAUGAGGUGCUGCUUCUCAAAGCUGUUUCCCCUGUGGAGACGGAGACUUUUUUUGGUAGUCCACCUUGGAAAUAAAUUUAUCGACAGGGAAAGAAGGAUCCUUUCAGAGAAUCAUAGCAGCUUUUGAAUUGGAAGGGACCUUUGCAGGUCAUCUUGUCCCACUCCCCUGCAAUGAACAGGGGCAGCUACAGCUCCAACAGGUGCUCGGAGCUUGGUCCAGCCUGACCUUCCUUCCCCUUCCCCCUUCCCCCUUUUCCCCUUCCCUCUCCUCUCCAUACAACAGAAAGGUGUUACCCUGUAAUUUCAUUAUUUUAAGUUAGAUUUUUUUAAAACCUGGCUGAUCUCGAAGGUCCCUCCCAACCCCCCCUGCAGUGCUGGUUACCACCGGCUGCUUUAUUCAUGCUGCAGCAGAAGGAACCACGUGCUGCCUGCUUUCCCCUUCCUGUGAUUCAUCCAUCAGCAGAACCAGGAGCUGUCUGGGAGCAGAGGAGCCCAUACUGGGGACAGUCCAGCUGCCAGUCCAGGAAUGCACCUUGUGGAAGUUUGCUCUCCCGAGCACUGCUCUGCCUCAGCCCUUCACAGCCUCCUUUGGGCAGGUUGUUUUUGGAGAGAGCGCAUGCACUUGGGGGAUUGCUUUCCACCAUACACAAUGUAUGGGGUAAUACAGCACUUACAUAUCCAUGUGCAAAAUUCAGCUCUUCCUCAUCUGCAUUGUUAGCAGGAGAUUGCAGCUCCUUGCUUUCCAUCAUUCGUGGUGGUCCUUCACUGUCCCUCACCUAUGCUGGAGGCAGUGUGCUGCUAUGGGGUGUAUGCAUGGAGGUGUGCAAACCGUAAUCAGAGCGCAGAGUUAAUUAGUGCAGAUCCACUGCAAUCCGCAGCGCUUUGUUCCGUCGGGUCAUGCGAUGCUCAGAGCUCUUUUCUAUGUGAAUUGUCUCUGUCAGAGCAAAGCUGAGCUUUGUCAGUGAACCCUUUUGGUGAUCCGUCGUCAUUUCCUUUUCUGAGUGCCUUUUCAUAUAAAGAAAACCUUUUUUUUUUUUUAAUUAAAAUGCUAAUUCAUCUCUAAAUUACAUGACAGAGAGAGAGAAUGCAGGAGAAUCGGGGCGCUCAGCAGAGCACAGUGCUGAUGGAGAUCACACGAUGUUCAGAAGGAAUGCAGGCAUGCUGGUUUUGUUCUGGUUUUAUUUGGUAGCUUCAUUGCAGACCUCUGCUUUUGUCCUAAGUCCAUCUUUGGUUUUGUGUGCUGUUCAGUUCACGCCUUGCUGUUCUGGAUGCUGGUUUUUGGUCGUGGGUGAUGGUGUGACGUUUGGUGGCCUUGGGAGUAUGGGGGAGAAUUGGUGUGCAAAGAGGAGGAUGCAGGAGAUCCUUGUCCUGGUGGAAGGCAGCCCACUGCUGCAUAAAGAUCAUCAAUAAGGCAGCUUAUUAAGCCUGCAGCUGCUCAGCCUGUGAUGAUUUUGCAUUACGUGGUGAAUUCCUGUCCUGGAAUGACCAUCACUUCCCUUGAAGAGGAAAAACUCUCAAAGUCAAGCAAGGUUUGGUUUGCACCGAGGGAAGGGUUUGGGGUUUUGCUCUGCUAUGUUGCUUUGAAUAACUUCUCUUGCUGUUCUCCUGGAGGUUCUGCAGCAGCAGUGAGGCCAUUCCUGUAUGAUGCAGUGUUAUGUGUGCCAUUGGGUCCUUGGGAGCAGGGCUGUCCUGCUGAGUGCACAUGCAGUGUUGGCUGGAUGUUGUCUGCCUUGACUUCAGCAAGGCUUUUGGUACUGUAUCCCACGGCAUCCUGGUAACUCAGCCGGGGAAGUGUGGGCUGGAUGAGAGGAUGGUGAGGUGGGCUGAGAGCUGUCUGAGCUCAGAGGGCACAUAUCAGUACAGGCAGGGAGAUGAGCUGCUGGAGAGGAGCUCUGCAGAGAAAGAGCUGGGGGUCCUGGAGGGUGACGGGUUGGCCAUGAGCCAGCAGUGUGCCCUGGUGACCAAGAGGUCCAAUGGGAUCCUGGGGUGUAUUAAAGGGAUUUUGGCCAGCAGGGCGAGGGAGGUGAUAUCCCCCUCUGCUCUGCCCUGGUCAGGCCUCACCUGGAGCACUGUGUCCAGUUCUGGGCUCCCUGGUACAAAACAGACAGGGAGAGAGUCCAGCAGAGAGGGCACAAAGGUGAUGCAGGGCCAGGAGCAUCUCCCUGUGAUGAAAGGCUGAGCAGCGUGGGGCUGUUCAGCCUUGACAAAAGAAGACUGAGAAGGAAUCUUAUGAAUGCUUACAAAUAUCUUAUGUGUGGGAGUCAAAGGGACACGGCCAACCUUUUCUCAGUGGUCUGUGGGGACAGGACAAGGGGAAAUGGGCACAAACUGAAGCGUAGGAAGUUCUGCACCAAUAUGCAGAACUUCUUCAUGGGAAGGGUGAUUGGAGCACUGGAAUGGGCUGCCGUGGGAGAUGGGGGGGUGGUCUCCUCUGGAGACAUUCCAGACCCAUCUGGAUGCCGACCUGUGCAGCCUGCUGCAGGGAGCUGCUUGGGCAGGGGGUUGGGCUCACUGAGCUCUGGUGGUCCCUUCCAACCCCUGCAGUUCUGUGACUCCGUGAAGGAUCAGCCCCAGCAGGUGGAGGUGUGGAAUACUGCAGAUCACUUCUCUGUGCUCUGUUCGGGUUUAUGCUGCGUUGCAAGCACUGCUGGUGUGAUGUUGGUCAUCAGGUUUUGCUGUGCUGAUGGGGGGGGGUGUUCAGGAUGUCAGCAAGCUCUUUGGGUUUGCACCUCAGCUGUAGCACAGAACCUUCAGUGCCAACCCCGUUGUGGUUGUUAACAUCUCCAACCAUGAGAAGCACUUCUUUUGAGUGGAACAUUGCUUGGCUGUCACAGCAGAGGUCUGUGGCUCUGACGUGAGCCUGGAACAAUGAAAUAAGGACGUGCUAUUCUGGUUAUAAAGAUGACUGCCAGCGAGGCUGCAGUAAGGCGGCUGUACCAAACCCCAUUGGAAGCUUCACGUGAGAUAUUAGCACAUGGCUCUGAGCACAGUGAUGGUUCCCAACAACUUUCUGGCCCCAGCUGCAAUCCCCCUGGUACCAAUGUGGUUAUCUGGCACUUCUGCUGCAGGAGGUGCAUGGGAGCAAAGCCCAUCCCGAGGUUCAGCCUCAUUAUUGGCGUUGAGGGCAGGAGGGCUGUGAUGUGAGUGGUGCCCAGGAGGGCUGUGAGGCUGAGCAGCGCAGGCAGGAGUUGGGAGAGCAGCUUUUCAAGUUGGCCUUUCACUUCAAUGGGCAGUGAGCGCAGCUGGGAAGCGCAGCGCCGUCACCUGCACGCAGCUCACACCCCAGCUGUGGUUCUCCGGUCUGGCAGAAAUACCCAUUGAAAAACUCAGUGCUGAAGGCAUUUUAGAAACCAUUGCUGCACCGCCAGCAAAAGGGGCACAGCACUUUGUGACUGAACUUCAGAGCUCAGUUCAAUCCAGUGCUGUUGGUGCAGUGCCGGCGCUGUUUUGCUCUGGGGCGCUUUGCCUUUCCCAGCUCUUCCUUUCAUUCCUUUGAAUCAUUUCUGGAUGUGCAGGGAUGGAAGUGAAGCACUCGGGGCCUCUCCUUCUGGGCAGUGUUGGUUUCCAUCCGAUCAUCCACAGGGAGUGCAGCACCUGUGGGAUCAGGCAUUUGCAGUGCUUCAAAAUGGGUUUGCUUUCAUUGCUCUGCAGUGGAAGCAGUCACUGAAUACAGAAUCUGUGUAUUCACUUCGGUGUUUUGGAGUUAAAUACCUGAAACCCCAGCAGGCUGUGCGUCCCUGUGUGCCAUCUCAGCCCUUUACAUGGCACAGCGCAGUCCUGUUUGCUUCCUAUAAAAGACGGGUUAAAGUGGGAAGGAAACAGGGAAGUGCUUGGGAGCAUCAGGAGCUGCCGCAGCCCAGCACGCUGUGAAGGCAGCAGCCUGCAAGUUUGAAUCAGAGCCAUCUCCUUUGUAAAGAAUGCAGAUAAUGCUUUUUUUUUUUUCAGCAGAAAAGAAAAAAAAAAAGGGGGGGGGGGUAACCUGAUCUGAGUCUG